UACGGAGGAUCCGAGCGUUAUCCGGAUUUAUUGGGUUUAAAGGGUGCGUAGGCGGCUUGAUAAGUCAGUGGUGAAAGUUUGCGGCUUAACCGUAAAAUUGCCAUUGAUACUGUCGGGCUUGAGUACAGAUGAGGUAGGCGGAAUGUGUCAUGUAGCGGUGAAAUGCAUAGAUAUGACACAGAACACCGAUUGCGAAGGCAGCUUACUAAAGUGUAACUGACGCUGAGGCACGAAAGCGUGGGGAUCAAACAGGAUUAGAAACCCCCGUAGUCC
rnacentral:rRNA from 1 species